rnacentral:rRNA from 1 species
UACGGAGGAUGCGAGCGUUAUCCGGAUUUAUUGGGUUUAAAGGGUGCGUAGGCGGGCUUUUAAGUCAGCGGUAAAAAUUCGGGGCUCAACCCCGUCCGGCCGUUGAAACUGGGUGCCUUGAGUGGGCGAGAAGUACGCGGAAUGCGUGGUGUAGCGGUGAAAUGCAUAGAUAUCACGCAGAACUCCGAUUGCGAAGGCAGCGUACCGGCGCCCUACUGACGCUGAAGCACGAAGGCGUGGGUAUCGAACAGG